rnacentral:tRNA from 1 species
GCCCGAGUGGCGGAAUGGCAGACGCAGCGGAUUCAAAAUCCGCCGUUAGAAAUAACUUCGGGGUUCAAGUCCCCGCUCGGGCA